CUGCCUCGCUUUCCUCUGUUCACAAUCUGCAUCGACCACCGCCACCAUCAUUACCUCGCCUUCUGUCUUCCGUCGACACUGCUUCCCGGUGUUGCUAUCGCAUUGAAGAUCACCUCUUUAUCUGCUUCGCUCACUUCAGUACCGGUCUCCGUCGUUUGAAGCCCUAAUUUUCCCAAUUGAAGCUUCGAUUAGAUAAGCACUUCCCCAAAAUUUGCUGAAGGCGUGAUUAGGGCUAGAAAAAGCUCAACUGGAGCUUUAUUCCUUACAUUUGAAAUUGUGUUCAUCAUUACUAAAUGUUGAAGGUAAUGUUAUCCUUUCCUCAAUCUCUCUUCUCUCCUUACUCGUUGAUUUCUCAGGGACGACAUCCUCUACCUAUUUUUUUGGUUCUCGAGUCUGUUCUGAUUCCUGUUUAUAGUCAGACACUUACACAGGCACGUAUAAACACACAAUCGAAAACACAUAGAAAUACGCAAUCACUUAUGAACGGAGUCGGAUUUUCUUUAAUUUUGUUGUACGUUUCCGAUUGAGGGCUGUGGUGGUGGCAUUUUUUCCCCACUAUUUAGUUUUAAGGUUUUAUGAUCGUUUUGUUGUGUGUCUCUGAGGAAUGUUGGAAUUUUUUGUGAUUUUCUGUUAUUUAUCUUCUGAAUUCAAGAAAUUUUGUUGAUUUGAUAGAGUGGAGGCAUAGAUGUUUCUUAGAGGCUUUGUUUGAUUUUCCUUUUGCAAUGAAUUGAUCCAGGAUCAAUUACCUUAAGUAUAUGUGUUUGAUUGCUUGACCAGAGGAUUCCCUCUUUAGUUACACUUCAUUCCUGGAAUCCAAUUCCCGACCACAAAUGGCCUUACUAGCUACUUCAUUACUACACACAAUGCUAAUUAUAGUUUCAUAAUGUUUUUCAUCCUAUACAUUUUAAGUGUUUUUUAGUAACUAAAUGGCAUCAAUCAAAUCUAUACAAGUAUUUAGGACUUAACAGACCUAGAUGAAUAAAUGUUCACUUUUUAAGUUCUAUCUCUCUUGUGCAUGUGGGAAUACGAGGAUAUGCUUAUGAUUAACUCCUUUUAAGUAUAUUUCUCAUUGUGUUGUCAUAUAUAACAGGUUAAGAAUGAAUAUGGAGAUGCUUUAAUACAACUGUUCCUUGGGUGAUGCGCAAACAAAGUGAUGCACCUGAUCCAAUUAUAAGUAAAAUUACCUCAACUUAUAAUCAAGAAUCUGUAUCUAUGUCAAUUGUGAACACAUACAAACUGCUAAAUUGAAAGCUCUACAGUAGAUCAAGUUUUUGCCUGUUGGAUACUCAAUUAAAUGCCCUAUUUGUGUGUUGAAUCUUAUAUUAGUUUCAUUGUUUCUUCUUUAAUCGGUUCUAUAGCAUAGAAUGAAGUUUUUUUUAAUAGGUUUCUAACAUAAUGGCACGCCAAAUUGCAGAUAAAUUCAUCAUACAUUGCCUUACAUUGCCUGGAAUGAAAUCCAAGAACAAAUUAUCUUAUUGGAAUUGCAAAGAUUCAACUAAGCUAUUGUCUAUAAUCUCUGAACUUGCGUAUUUUACUAUUUUUACCCAUUAUAUGAACCUUUCUCAAAUUAUUACAUUGUUGAUAAUUGAAUAUUGCAAGAGUUUGUACAUGGCAUGGCAGAAAAAUGUGUUGGGGAUGUUGAUGAUGAAAGACUAAAAUUAGGGUUUCAACUUGUUACUUUUCAAUUUUAGAGUUGAUACUAUUUGUGGCCAUUAGAAUUUUAUAAAUCAUCUUUCCAGAAAAUCAUCUUCCGCCAAGGUUGUUCACUUAUUCACUAACCCAAAAAUAUGAAGAACUCUACCAAGAGAAUGGAGGUUCUCCCUCCUAUUCCCCACCAACACAUGCUUAAAUCUUUUGUUGACAUCAUGUUUCAUUUGUAGGGUGACUUUAUAAAAAUCUUGGAAUCUGGGCCUUAUGAAGGUGUCAUUGGUGUUAAACUUGAAAAUGGAUCUACCAUUGAAGCAAAUUUUCCCUUAAUCGGAGGAAAGGUUAAGUGAUGGGGGCUUCAUGGUGGGAUUAGAGAGGAUGAAAAUUAAAAGGAUAUGAUUGUAUGGCUACAUGUAAUAUGUGUAUGGUUUUUUCUUAAAUAAAUAUUAAACAAAAAGAUAUUAACAUUUCGCUAUUUUGUAGAUGUUUAAGCGUCAUGGAUGGUGUUAUGUUUGAGUUCCAUAGAGGGAUUAAAAGUUUCCAAACUGAGGAUGACCAAAAUAUUGGUGAUGAAGGAGAAAAGAUUUCACUGAUACUAGAAAAAGUUGCAUUUCCAGAAGUUAUAAUGGCUGAAAUGAUUUCAGCCAUUAUAUGUUAGUCACUAAUUAGUGACCAUUAUUUUUAUUUUUGUCACUAAUCAGUUUUUGUGACGGAUAGUGACGACCAAAUUUUUGGUCACUAAUUCAUCUAGUGACGACUCUUUCUAUUGUUGUUUUGCAGGCAUGUAUGCAGUAAGAGAUGCAAAAGUCAGUUAAAAAGGCUUAAGAAGAAGCUAGUCAGAGUUGUUGGUUUUACUAGUAAAAUAACUCACAUUCUUUUGUAACAACUAUUAUUUGUGUACAGUUUACAAAAUGAGUAAGGUAGUUAGAUAUGGAAUACUUACUGUUUUUGGAAAUUUGUUUUGGUGGUUGUUGUCUUAAUUUUGUUCUAAGGUGAAUAUAUGAUGUUUUUAGCCA